ACGAGCCCAAAGAAAAAAAUUGUAGUGGCUGCCACAUCACCAACUAAAGUAGAUCUCUGGCUUAGAAAAGAUCCCAUCGAAAUAUCUACGUACUAUUACCACCAAAAUUUACGCAGAAGGGUGUUCGUAUUCAUCAGCUCUCCAACCAUUACAUCCAAAAUUAUUCAAGAUCAAAGAGUUUUAUUCAUCGGGGUUUCCGUGUGCUUCUCUCGUUCCGAGCCGGCCUCGCCUUGCGUGCCUGCCUGCGCCAUGGCCUCUCCAUGAGCCCCUCCGGCUGCGUGGGUCCUUGAUGAAUCUUUCUCCGUGUAUGAAUAGUGAUCGGGGAUGGAUGAUGGAUGGAUCCUCCCCUGUGCCUGCAUGAUGGAUCAAGUGCUAUUCAUGAUUCAACUACGAUGGUACAUUUGAAUAGACUAAGUCAUCAACCACUCAAAUAUAUCGCGU
rnacentral:lncRNA from 1 species